UACGAAGGGGGCUAGCGUUGUUCGGAAUUACUGGGCGUAAAGCGUGCGCAGGCGGCUUCUCAAGUCAGGGGUGAAAGCCCAGAGCUCAACUCUGGAAUUGCCUUUGAGACUGAGUGGCUUGAGUGCGAGAGAGGUGAGUGGAAUUCCCAGUGUAGAGGUGAAAUUCGUAGAUAUUGGGAAGAACACCGGUGGCGAAGGCGGCUCACUGGCUCGUAACUGACGCUCAUGCACGACAGCGUGGGGAUCAAACAGG
rnacentral:rRNA from 1 species